ACCAAGGGAAGCUUGGAAGUGAGGAUGGCCUUUCAGAGUUUUCCUGAGUUGGGGCCAGGGAUCCAGGCCUUUGUAUCAAACAUUAACCAGUCAUUGGAAGCAGGCUGCCUUGUGAAAGGGAUGCGACCUUGGGCAAGGCAAUGAGGCAGUUUUGAAACAGAGUUCUUGUCAGCUGUGGGCUAUCUGCUGGCAGCAUUCCCAGCAACCGAGGGAAUAGGUUCUUCAGUCCUGGAGGGAAAAUCUGGGCAGCAUAUCACGGCAUCCAUUGCUAAUUGUAAUAUUAGUGGAAGAGGAUGCUGGAAGUUUCAUCUGAGAGGAACAAAGUGAAUUUUAAUACUGGUGCUUUACAGACCUCAUGUUGUUCAUGAAAAAGAUUGUUUUUAAGUCACUCACUAGCUUAGGUCUAAAAUAGAAGUUCCCCCUCAAACAUAUUUCUGUGAAACAUUAAAAAAAAGAACCCAAAUGGAGAUGAAAUUUGUGUUCGUAUGUAUUAGUCAGGAUGAUUUUGUUUCACAUAAUUGAGCCCAACUAAAAUUAGCUCGGAAACAGGAAAUGGUAUUGUCUCAUGUAACCAAACUCCAGGAAAGGCAAAAUUGCAACUAGACCUCAGGGACUCAGAUGGUCACAGAUCACUUUUUUGUCUUUGCUUCUCUCUUCAUACUGUCUUCCUUGUCUGACACUAGCUUCUUCCACACAGCUGGAAAUAUGGCUCACAGCAGUUUCCAGGCUCAAUUUCAUCACUGGAGAGGGAUUAAAACUUGAUCUCCAUUGUGAAGUUAAAAACUCCCUGAGAAAGGUUUUCAUUGGGUCAAGUGUUAUUUGCGGACACAUUAGCUGCAGCCAGGAGGGUAAGUUACGAUGAUUGGAUCAAGUGAGUCUAUCUGGGUAGCCCUAACCAAUCACUGUGGUCCUAAGAUCAUGGGAGUUCUCAAAUGGAUGUACAUGACUGGAAUGCAUGAAGGGGCAUUUUGUGGAAGGGCAGAGCAAACAAUGACUGGAUAGAACAAAAGAUGUUGUGUAUUAGAUUUCUCUUAUCCCCUGUGUUUCAAUGUUACCAGACUAAUGUCAUUUUCUUUUUGGCUUUGGUAUAUGGGCCAGUGUAUCUUACUGUGCAAAUGGACCUUAUAGCUAGCUAUCAGUAAUUUGUUCAUAAAUAUUAGGUUCUGUUCGUUUUGCCCUGAGAUUAAUUACCUGCCAACAUGUACAUGAUUUUCUUGGUUCAGAGAAAUUGUUUAUUAAUCAUAUUAACAAGGGAAUUUUUGGAGGGCUAGAAAUGAAGUCAUCAUAAUUAUAUACUUCUUUUUAAGACGAUUAUUUAUAUUAACAAAUCACUUCGUAGGAAGCAUUUUAACAUUUAUCAAAUAAACCUGCUCUCAGUGAUUUACGAUAUAAUUUUGUUGGCUAUACAUCUUUAUUAUAUGAAGAAAACCUAUUUGAAAAUAUAACAACUUUAAAAAUAGUCCUGUUCUGGUCCAGAAAAAAAAAAAAAUCUCUGCCUUCAGUUUCAGAAAGGGUCAGCUUAGCUUUUAACUCUUCUAAUGGUAUAGUUGUUGUCCAGUGUCUACCUGUUCCACUCCCAAGUGGUUAGUUUCAGUCGACUGUAACUUCCAUCCCAUGGUAAAACCAAUCUCAGUGGUUGGUUCAGAAAGGGUUAUGUAAUAUGAUAGCAGGGGACUGAACGUUUCUGUGAAAAAUUUUCUCUUCCAUAGAAAGAGAAGAACUUUUCUUUCGAACAUGGUUGGGUUCAUAUAUCACAAAUGCUCUGCUAAUUCUGCCUGUCACCAGUACAAGAAAACAAAUAACAGUAGCAGUGAUCACGAUGAUGAUGGUCCAGGAAGAGUUGUUUGAAGGAAAGAGAGACCAAAUAUUUAUUCUGCAUCUGAUAUUUAUCAGGUUGGAAAAAUGAAAUUAAUCUGUAAGAAAAUAGAGCAGAAUCUGAAUGAAGAAUUGAUCAAGGUAUUUUCAAUGUAUAAUAUAUAUACUUCAACCACUAUAUCAGCAAAGAAUGUUACGUAGUCACCUGUAUCUUUGCAAGUGGCAUUUUUUUUGGUAGUUGCUUACAGAUGGAGAAAUCCCCUAUGUUCAUGAAGGCAGACGUUUACAGAGAUGAUUCCAACCACUGAAGAGUCGAACCGACUGGGAACACAUCUAUGGCACAUCCGCAAGCUCACAGUUCCCUUGGAAAAAUAAUGGCAAGAAAUGAUAUAAAGAUUUUGAAGGGGUUUGUGGUAUUCCACUCCAGUUUUCCGAGGAAGAAGAUGAUACAUAUGGGUUUGUAUUUCCUUCAUGAGAAUUUGAAUACAGGAUAUAUUAAUUAAACAUAUAUCUUCAUUUUCCUGAUGGAGAAACUUGAGUCAGCAGUGAUUAAAUUACCCAGCUAUUUGGUUGCAGAGCUAAGACUACCCAUGGUUUUUACUGCUGUUCUACAUUCUUUUUUAUUACAAUUAUUAACGGAAGAGUUUUGGGUUUUCAUAGAAGACCAAAGCAAGAGAAAGUUUAAAUCGUCAAGAAAGUUUAGAUAGAUAAAGGGAGCUUAUUUAAGUGUAAAGGAACUAAAUACUAUUAUUUUCUUUAUUUUAAGAUGUAUAUAUAUAUGUAUAUGCAUAUGUGUGUAUAUGUGUGUGUGUGUGUGUGUGUGUGUGUAUACACGCUAAUAUUCCGAAAUCAGCCUGACUCUUAGAAACAAUGUAAAGUCAUAGUUGCUUCCAGGAAGCAUGUCAAGUUGUGAGAUGAUCCUCUUUACUUGGAAGAAUUUAGCCACUGACAUUCUCAUGUAAUAGAUUAUGGAAUCGACAAAACUACUUAGUUUUGUUGGCUUACUUUGCGAAAGAAACUAUUUACCAUCCAGCAGUAUGUAAUUCGAUUAAGAAAUAAAAAACAGAAUUUGAAAUGCAAA